rnacentral:rRNA from 1 species
CCUACGGGAGGCAGCAGUGGGGAAUAUUGCACAAUGGGGGGAACCCUGAUGCAGCGACGCCGCGUGAGUGAAGAAGUAUUUCGGUAUGUAAAGCUCUAUCAGCAGGGAAGAAGAUGACGGUACCUGACUAAGAAGCCCCGGCUAACGACGUGCCAGCAGCCGCGGUAAUACGUAGGGGGCAAGCGUUAUCUGGAUUGACUGGGUGUAACGGGAGCGUAGACGGCAGGGCAAGUCUGGGGUGAAGGCCCGGGGCCCAACCCCGGGACUGCUUUGGAAACUGCCAUGCUAGAGUGCUGGAGAGGUAGGCGGAAUUCCUGGUGUAGCGGUGAAAUGCGUAGAUAUUAGGAGGAACACCAGUGGCGAAGGCGGCUUACUGGACAGUAACUGACGUUGAGGCUCGAAAGCGUGGGGAGCAAACAGGAUUAGAUACCCUGGUAGUC